GAAUGACGCAGAACUGGGGAUGAUGAAGUUACCAGGUUAACAGGACGAAAUCAAAUCCAGUAGAAGUAACUCAAGCGAGAUCCGAGCACUUCAGUCUUCUCGGUAGGGAAACGAAGCAAAACAGAGAGGCCACUGCUUAAAGUUUAAGGCAGCGAACAGCAAUGGCGGCAAUAAAUAUUAGUCGCCUGAAUUCGAUGAAUAAAGUCUGCAAAGUGAAAUAAACCAGUGAGAUCGUUUUUCCAUACUCCCCGCAGCUUCAAAAUAAAUAAACUAGCCUUCCCUUCGGUGAAGGAUUCCUGCGGAAACAGAAACAAUACCAGUCGGCGGAGAGGAAGACGGGAACGUUGGCGGCGGAGGCCCUGAAGCGCGGCCCUGAAGACGUGGAGGAUGCAGUCGCGGGGGGGAAGCGAAACCGAGAUUUGGGCAUCAGGAGACUCGGGACUCGGGGGGAGUAGCUUCGGGGGAGGCUCGGCCAAGGGCGUCGGGACUCGGGGGGAGCAGCUUCGGGGGAGGCUCGGCCAAGGGCGUCGGGACUUGGGGGGAGAGACUCAGAGAUUUGGGUAGGAACGGGCGUCGAGCGGCGAGGGUUCAGGCGAGCGGCGUCGGCGACUGG
rnacentral:lncRNA from 1 species